UCUGCGGCCGAUUAGGUUGUUGUUGGGGUAACGGCCCAACAAGCCUGUAAUCGGUACGGGUUGUGGGAGCAAGAGCCCGGAGAUGGAUUCUGAGACAUGAAUCCAGGCCCUACGGGGCGCAGCAGGCGCGAAAACUUUACAAUGCGGGAAACCGUGAUAAGGGGACACCGAGUGCCAGCAUCCUAUGCUGGCUGUCCGGGUGUGUAAAAUACACCUGUUAGCAAGGGCCGGGCAAGACCGGUGCCAGCCGCCGCGGUAACACCGGCGGCCCGAGUGGUGAUCGUGAUUAUUGGGUCUAAAGGGUCCGUAGCCGGUUUGGUCAGUCCUCCGGGAAAUCUGACAGCUCAACUGUUAGGCUUUCGGAGGAUACUGCCAGACUUGGAACCGGGAGAGGUAAGAGGUACUACAGGGGUAGGAGUGAAAUCUUGUAAUCCCUGUGGGACCACCUGUGGCGAAGGCGUCUUACCAGAACGGGUUCGACGGUGAGGGACGAAAGCUGGGGGCACGAACCGGAUUAGAUACCCGGGUAGUCCCAGCCGUAAACGAUGCUCGCUAGGUGUCAGGCAUGGCGCGACCGUGUCUGGUGCCGCAGGGAAGCCGUGAAGCGAGCCACCUGGGAAGUACGGCCGCAAGGCUGAAACUUAA
rnacentral:rRNA from 1 species